CACUAUUAAAUGCACGAGUAUUUAACUCCAAUUACCAAUUCGAGAAUUUGACCCGCUAGUUCCCUCCAAAAAUGGCAGAAGCGCUUGCUCAGCAGCUUUACACCUCUUCCGUUUCCCUAAACAAACCCAGAAGAUUCGACAACGCGACGUACGAAUUCUCGAAUCUGUUUUGCUUUCCAAAUCCGUGAAAUCGCUGAAGGAAUUCGAAUCGAUCUUCCCGAGAUCCGAAUCUCUUUGUUCCAUUCGUGAAAUCUCCAAUAAACCUGUCGAUCGGAAUUCUUGAUUCUUGAAUUUCUCGUCUACGCUAUUUUUCGUUCUAAUAGGCGAGGGUUGCUUCGCUCUCAGAUACGAGGCCUUGCGUAUGUGAGAACUCCAGUCUACAAGUUCCCAAUGGCUAGAAAUUUCAUAUUUUGAAUGGCUGAAUUUCGCUGAACACUCACUGGACCAUGGUUUCUAUUCAAUUGCUGUGAAGACGAGUUUCUUUAGCAACUAGCAAGUGGGAAUAAAAGGUUAAAUAUGGGGAUCUAGAAAGAAGUGCUAUAGGUCUAACGAGGGAUUUAAGGGCCAGAUGCUGUCAAUUGAUCACUGUAAAUUCUGUCUCUAUAUCAGUUCAGACGCAGGCUGCUGAGUACUUG